AUCCUUUUGUAGUUCAUGAGCAUGAUGACUGGGUGUUCACACACUUGUGUGAGAUGUGCCACCCUUUAACCUUGCUACAACGUCAGCAUAUUACUCAUUAGAAC